CAAAUUCGGUGAGAUCUACUUUAAAUAUAUAAAUCUUAUUUAUUUAAAUAUUAAAUUAAUAAUAGACGGGUCUAGGCAAUAAUUUCCCAAACACUUAACCAAAGAAUUUUUUUCUUAAAGUGAAGUAGAGAAUCUCAUCAAUGAGUUAUGAUGGCCACCAUUUUGUUCAUGCGGGAAGGAAUCAUGUUCUCAUAUUUUCGCCAAUUAAUUCUCAUAUUUUCCCUAGAAAAAGAAUCCUAAUAAUUGAAAAUACAAGAAUCAUUAUAAUUAAUGAGAAUGCUAAUCACAAUAUUAUGCUAUAAGAGCUUAAAAUAUGAAGGCUAAUCACAAUAUUAUGCUAUAAGAGCUUAAAAUAUGAAG
rnacentral:misc_RNA from 1 species